ACAGACUGAAAAUUGCCUCUGGUGUUGUCCGUCACUGUUGGUGAGAUACCUGUGCCUACAUAGUCCUGGAGCAUUAUGCUCAUUGCCCGCUCCUAAUGUGGUGUGAUGAGACCCGUGUUCCGACAGCU